rnacentral:rRNA from 1 species
CCUACGGGGGGCAGCAGUGGGGGAUAUUGGACAAUGGGGGAAACCCUGAUCCAGCGACGCCGCGUGAGUGAAGAAGUAUUUCGGUAUGUAAAGCUCUAUCAUCAGGGAAGAAAGUAAUGACGGUCCCUGAGUAAGAAGCCGCGGCUAACUACGCGCCAGCAGCCGCGGUAAUACGGAGGGGGCAAGCGUUAUCCGGAAUUACUGGGUGUAAGGGGAGCGUAGGCGGAAAUGCAAGGCUGGAGGGAAAGGCGGGGGCCCAACCCCCGGACUGCUGUUGAAACUGUGUGUCUGGAGUGCAGGAGAGGCAGGCGGAAUUCCUAGUGUAGCGGUGAAAUGCGUAGAUAUUAGGAGGAACACCAGUGGCGAAGGCGGCCUGCUGGACUGUAACUGACGUUGAGGCUCGAAAGCGUGGGGAGCAAACAGGAUUAGAUACCCCUGUAGUC